rnacentral:rRNA from 1 species
CACGUAGGAAUCUGCCCAACAGAGGGGGACAACCCGGAGAAAUCCGGGCUAAUACCGCAUACGCCCUAUUGGGGAAAGCGGGGGAUCUUCGGACCUCGCGCUGUUGGAGGAGCCUGCGUCGGAUUAGCUUGUUGGUGAGGUAAUGGCUCACCAAGGCUACGAUCCGUAGCUGGUCUGAGAGGAUGAUCAGCCACACUGGGACUGAGACACGGCCCAGACUCCUACGGGAGGCAGCAGUGGGGAAUAUUGCACAAUGGGCGAAAGCCUGAUGCAGCCAUACCGCGUGUGUGAAGAAGGCCU